UCGAGACCUGAAAUUCCAACCCCAAACUCAAACCCUAGAUUUUUCCCCCAAUGUCCGGCGACGACCAAGAUUCGCGUCGAAAGCACCGCCGCGAUCACUCCGACGACGCCGACGACGCCGAUGAGUCCUCCAAGCGUCACAAGCACCGCCGCCACCGCCACCACCACCGUCACCGCCACAGCAGCAAGAAGCGCGAAGAAGAAACCAAGGCCGCGCCUGACGAUAUCGAAGCUCCUUCGCCGCCGCCUGCUGUGCUAUCACUUUCCAAUACUCCACGGCCGGCGGAGGACGUGGAGGAAGGCGAAAUUCUUGACGACGGCGGCGUAGUGGACAUGAAAGCCGACUCCGGUGUCGAGUCCGGUGAAAUUGAAGCUCCUGGAGCUCGCGAACGUUCUGAUAAUAAGAAUCUGGGACUUUGUAGUGAUGAUGAUGCCGAUGGGUCUCAUAGUGAGGCUCGCAAAGAAGAAUCUGUUUCCAGAGUUGACCUGGAGGACCGUGCCAUUGGGAAUUUGGAAAAGAGGCGGCACCGAGAAUCUGGGUCGCCUUCAAGAGGAGGUGGUCAUAGAAAGAAAUACAAUAGUGACAAUGUGGAUGAUGAUAGAAGCAACUCAGUCAAUAAAGAAAAGUCGCCCCAUAGAAGUAGUGGUGAUAGGUACCACAAAGUUCUGCGUGGCGAGAGCAGAUCAGGGUCGCGUGAUCAUGUGAGAGAAAGAUCUCGUUCCCGUAGUCUAGUUGAAGAGGGGGCACCAUCGAAAAGAAGAUCUCAUUCUCGCAAUAUAUUGGAAGAGGAAGCUCUAUCUAAAGGGAGGCGUCAUCAUGAUCGAGAAAGCUCAGUAUAUGCCGAGAAAAGCAAGGUCACUCACAAGUCUGAUGAUGAAGGUGGUAUAGUGAGGGAUGAUGAAAGGGAACGCUGCAUCAGUUACGGAAGAUACUCUGGAUUAGAUCGCAGUCGGGGGAGAGAGAAGAGUAGAGAAAGGGAGGUGGAUAGGGUUAGGAGAAGUGAGAAAGAACUAGGUAGGAACAGGGACACGGACCGGAGAAGGGAGAAAGAAAGAGAAAGAAGUAGUCACAGGGAUUUGUCUAGGGACCGGAAAAGGGUUAUUGGACGUGGUGAAAGCAUUGAAAGGAUGGUUGAUAGGGAAAGCAGAAGGGAAGAGCGACAUAGGAGCAGAGACAGGACAAGGGAGGAUGAUGUUGAUAGGAGCAGGGGCAGGGUCAAGCCUGCUGACAGAGACAGAGAUAGAGAUAUGGAGAGGGAUUGGGCUAGGGAUAGAGUUACAGAUCGGAAAUGGGAGAGGCGAGAUGAUAGAUAUAGGGACACGGUUCGAGAUAUGGAGAGGGAGAGAAACGAAACUGAAGGCGGAUAUGGUACUAGAUACAAGUAUAAUCAUUCUGGUCCAUCAAAGUAUGAAGAAAAAGAAUAUAACCAGGACAAUUCAACAAAAACUGAUCAAGCAGAAGUUCAGACGGAAAGAUAUGAUGAUGAACAAGGAGAUGAUGAGGAGAUGGUCGGUUUGCAAGUGGCUGAUCAGGAAGAGGACGAUCUUAACAGAAUUAAGGAGGAAAGCAGGAGGAGAAAGCAAGCAAUCUUGGAAAAAUAUAAAAGUCAGCAGUCACAGCAAGAGACCACGAUACAAUUUGAGUCACAGUUAGAGCAACCCAAUCAAUUAGAGGGUCAAAAUCAAGAUCAUCUGGUUGGGGUUGCCAAUUCCAUAGGAGAAGUUGAUGCUGCUCAGAGUCUUGGAGGCUUAUAUAGGGAUGAUGCAGUUUCUACCACAGCUCGGCACAAUGGUGCCCCAGGGCUUGGGGAGGGUACCCCAAAGAGUGAAAGCUCUGGUGGCUUAGAACCCAAACUAGAAAGAUCUGAUGGUAUUAUAUGUGAUGAUAUCUUUGGUGAGACCCCAACUGGAGUUCGAAAAUUGGAAAAAGGAGAUGCUGUACGAAUUGAAAGGAGUGGUCUCCGUGACAACUGGGAUGAUGCAGAAGGGUAUUACAGCUAUCGAUUUGGCGAAUUACUUGAUGGCCGAUAUGAGAUUACCGCUGCUCAUGGGAAAGGUGUAUUUUCAACUGUUGUUCGUGCAAAGAACCUUAAGGUUGGUAAUGGUGAACCAGAAGAAGUGGCAAUUAAGAUUAUUCGUAGCAAUGAUACUAUGUACAAAGCUGGUAUGACUGAGUUGGCCAUACUGAAGAAACUAGUAGGUCAAGAUCCUGACAAUAAGCGCUAUUGUGUUCGUUUCCUAUCAAGUUUCAAGUUUCGAAAUCAUCUUUGUUUAGUUUUUGAAUCUCUGCAUAUGAAUCUUCGUGAAUUAUUAAAGAAGUUUGGACGCAAUAUUGGUCUGAAACUAACUGCUGUGAGGAUAUAUGCUAAGCAGCUAUUGAUUGCAUUAAAGCAUCUCAAAAACUGUGGUGUACUUCAUUGCGAUAUAAAGCCGGAUAACAUGCUGGUUAAUGAAGCCAAAAAUGUUUUAAAGCUUUGUGAUUUUGGUAAUGCCAUGUUUGCUGGAAAAAAUGAAGUUACUCCAUACCUUGUCAGCCGAUUUUAUCGUGCCCCUGAAAUAAUCCUUGGCUUACCGUAUGAUCAUCCACUGGAUAUCUGGUCUGUUGGUUGCUGUUUGUUCGAACUUUAUACUGGAAAAGUGCUUUUUCCAGGUGCUACGAACAAUGAUAUGCUACGUUAUCACAUGGAGUUGAAAGGCCCUUUUCCUAAGAAGAUGCUUCGGAAGGCAGCAUUUACACACCAAAAUUUUGAUCAGGAUCUAAACUUUCAUGCCACAGAAGAUGAUCCUGUUACAAAAAAGGUCAUUAAACGCGUAAUUCUCAACAUGAAGCCAAAAGAUAUUGGAUUAAUGAUAGCAAAUUCUUCUGGUGAGGAUCCAGAUCCCAAGCUAUUAGCUGAUUUUAAAGAUCUUUUGGAUAAAAUGUUUGUGCUGGAUCCAGAGAAGAGGUUGACAGUUUCACAAGGUUUGAAUCAUCCAUUCAUCACUGGCAAGUGAACCGUGUUGCUGAUUUUCUCACUCCGAAUACUUGUUCUGCUAGAUGUUUGUACAUUUAGACCUAUUCAUAUUCAGUUUCUAAUCAUUGGGCAUUAUGUCUCUUCUAUGUGGUGGCCUGAGAGCUCUGAAACAGUCUGGCAUGGUUGAAAGGGGGAAAUAUAUGUCAGGAGAAUUCACUACUGGCUGGUUCUCUCAGUGGAGUGUACUGUUUCUAUUGUAAGACAACUAGCCGCAGGCGUUUUUCCUCUUGAUAUCUGCCACUGCUUUGAGGCAACCCUCCAGUGCUUAGAUGCUUAAAAAAGGAAAUCAGGAGAAGGUACCUUAGUUCGUUUAUUAGGAGAGUUUUGUGAGGGACUUGGAAGUUGUUUUAAAUAUGCUGCAUGUUUAUUUUUAUCUUUUCGUUGAUAAGAACUACAGGUUUUCUUUAAAUAAAAAAAGGAUUAAAUACUUGUGACACCCUAUAUUUUAGGUGUAAAAACAGUUUUGUCAUUCUACUUUCAAAUUUAAUCUGUAUAUCCUUUAACUCUUAUUUUUUAACAGUUUUGUACUUUUUUUUUAACAGUUUAGUCAAUUCCGUUAGUUGACCGUAAAAAAAUUCCGUUAAGCCGUUAAAAUGCAGAGAAUACCCCCAAUUCAAAUAAGAUUUUUUUUCUUUCUUUUCUCAUGCUUUUUUUAUUUCUCUUUUGGUUUUUCUUGGUUUUAAAUUUAAUUCAUCAUAUGUGCUAUUCAAUAUAUAUAAUUGUAAUCAAAACAAAUUAUCAAAUUAAUUGUAAACAAGAGGAGAAUUAAUGACAAUUGCUUAACAUCAAGUUGGAAAUAAAUAAUUUGAAACUAUUUUUGCAUCAAAGUAUGAAUAUGAUAGUAGAAGUCUUUUUUGUCUUAGCAUUAUUGAAAUUAAUCAAAAUAUGUUUGUAGAGCAUCAUAAUAUAAAAGAAGUUUAUAACUGGAUUUGAGUACUGACACUCACAUGUCAUUUUAGGCAUUAUCCAAUUGAUUAUAAGAUGUUUACAAUUAAUUUGAUAAUUUGUGUUGAUUACAAUUAUAUAUAUUUGAUAGCACAUAUGAUGAAUGAAAUUUAAAAACUAGAAAAACAAAAAGAAAUAUCAAAAGAGAAAAUAAAAAAAGCAUAAGAAAAAAAGAAAAAAAUAUGAUUUGAAUUUGGGGUAUUCUAGACAUUUUAACGGUUUAACGGAAUUUUUUAACAGUCAACUAACGGAAUGGACAAAACUGUUAAAAAAUAGAAGUUAAAUGGUAUACAGAUUAAAUUUGAAAGUAGAAGGACAAAACUGUUUUUACACAUAAAGUAUAAGGUGUCACAAGUAUUUAACCCAUAAAAAAACUACUAUGUUUACUUGUAAGUUUCUUUUGGCAAACUUAUUAUCUGAGGUCUUUUCUUUGUUUCUUUCUGGUGAGUGCUUUUGGUUGGCUGGGUAGAUGUGUGUUUUUGUAAUUCGACAAGUCAAUUGUACUCACUUUCUGAAACAUCGGUUUCUGUGCCCACUGUUAAUUUAUUGGUCUUUCUGCACCAUGAUUUGAUUUGGUGAACUAUACUGCGGGAUGUUCAUAUGCUUUCACAUUGAUCUAGUUGCAUGCAUUUGUAUUCUGUCAUACGUUGCUGGUCUGUUACCCUUAAUAUGCCCAUAUCCUAAUGAGAUUGCAUUGCAUCUGAUCCAUGGUCAUUCUGGAGGCAUUUGCACAGGAGUCAUGUGGCUGCUGUCUGCAUCAAAAAGAAAAUCUGAGGUUUGCCCUCCAUGCUCCUGCUGUGCUUGUAGGUAAUAUUCCUGAAAAUGACUCCAUAUAUCACUGUUUUCUGUGUUGAGUUUAGAUCUGCUACUGUGCUUUUUUCCACUAUACUGAUGUGUGCGUGCUCUAUAGAUGCACAUUAUCUUGAUUUGCAACAAAUCUUUUGUACUUCUGUGAUUCUUAUUAUGCUGAGAUGUUAGAGAGGCCAAGUAGUACCUGUUAUGGCAGUGGAACAACAGUUAGAUGUGUCAUCAGCGAAUAGGGAAUAUAAAAGAAAUUGAACAUCUCACCACUGUUGAUAUCAAUGAUUUCACCAUUGUUAGUCAGAUUUUUAAUGUAGAUUGUUGGCAUGGGCUAAUAGGAUUACAUUGUGUCCAAUACUUGUAAAUUGGUUGUUUGGGAAAAAUAGAUGCAUUGCAAGGUCUUAAUCUGUUUUUCCAUUUUUAAAAUUCAGAUUUGCUAGUUCAAUAUUUUCAGUUUGAUAUUAGAUUUUGUCCGAGUCUGGUGCUCCCGUGCGUUGAAUGUCAGUUACUUAACAAAGGCUCAUAUCAUAUUGCCAGAUUUGCUAGCUAAACAUUUUCAUAGUUCAGUUUUCGUUCCGUCCCUCCAUGACUGCUGAGGCAAGAUUUGCUUCAUCCAUAUCGUUGAAUGUCAGUUACUGAAUAAUGUCAUAUAUCCUGUUGCCAGAUUAUAGAUUAUUACUUGACAAGGGGAGGAGAUAGGGGGUUGGGGGGAGGGUAUUGCUUGGCCUGUGAGCUUAGCUUAGAUUAUCUUUAGUCCUUGAAAACUACGAAAUUGUUUUUGUCAAAAAAUAUGUUGGCUUAUUCACAUGUGGGGUUUGAACUUCUUAACUGUUAAACGCAUUUGUUGACCGGGCUUUUUACUAAAUCUUUAUUAUGUGAAUGAAUGACUUGCUAUAUAUUGCCUGCUAUUAAGCAAUCAUGGAUGAGUAUUAGUUGGGUUUUUCUAGAAUAGCGACUCCAGAUUGUUCUGUUUGUGCUCAUUUUAUCACUUCGGUGCUGACUUGAUGUAAAUCAAGCCUCCUUAUAGGCAGCUGGCUUGCUACAUUUUUGAUGUUUUAAUCCUCAUUCCAACGGCUGGAGGGAGCCGAAGCGGGCUUGCUCUUCCUUGCCUACAUUUGUAAUGAAUGUAAUCUGAGCGAGAAUGUGUAUUUACCAUAUUGGUCUAAACUAUAAAUGAAGAGUGCUAAUGCAUAUCUACCAAAAUGUGUC